GUGCAGUGUGAAAGGAGAGGCUAGCACUCCCCUUGACCAGGAUGGAAGAGGCCCUCAGGCCUGACAGCAUGCACACGGUUGAGGCAUUGCCACCUACUUCAUCGCUUAUAUUGUUAUAUUUGU
ensembl:snRNA